AGUUUGAUUCCGGGUCCAGGAUGAACGCGGGCGGCGUGUUAAACACAUGCAAGUCGAACGAAAAGGCCCUGGCUUCCAGGGUACUCGAGUGGCGAACGGGUGAGUAACACGUGGGUGAUUUGCCCUGUACUUCGGGAUAAGCCUGGGAAACUGGGUCUAAUACCGGAUAGGACCGUCUUUUAGUGUAGGCGGUGGAAAGACUUCGGUCGGUAGGGGAUGAGCUUGCGGCCUAUCAGCUUGUUGGUGGGGUAAUGGCCUACCAAGGCGUCGACGGGUAGCCGGCCUGAGAGGGUGUACGGCCACAUUGGGACUGAGAUACGGCCCAGACUCCUACGGGAGGCAGCAGUGGGGAAUAUUGCACAAUGGGCGCAAGCCUGAUGCAGCGACGCCGCGUGGGGGAUGACGGCCUUCGGGUUGUAAACUCCUUUCGCCAGGGACGAAGCGUUAUAGUGACGGUACCUGGAUAAGAAGCACCGGCUAACUACGUGCCAGCAGCCGCGGUAAUACGUAGGGUGCAAGCGUUGUCCGGAAUUACUGGGCGUAAAGAGCUCGUAGGUGGUUUGUCACGUCGUCUGUGAAAGUCCAGCGCUUAACGCUGGGAUUGCAGGCGAUACGGGCUGACUUGAGUGCUGUAGGGGAGACUGGAAUUCCUGGUGUAGCGGUGAAAUGCGCAGAUAUCAGGAGGAACACCAAUGGCGAAGGCAGGUCUCUGGGCAGUGACUGACGCUGAGGAGCGAAAGCAUGGGUAGCCAACAGGAUUAGAUACCCUGGUAGUCCAUGCCGUAAACGGUGGGCGCUAGGUGUGGGGACCUUCCACGGUUUCUGCGCCGUAGCUAACGCAU
rnacentral:rRNA from 1 species